CUUCAUAGUCGAGUUCAGAAUGCGUCAAUAACAGUCGUUCGACCGAUCGAGCCGCUCUCGGUGCACGCUGACUUUGUUGACUCCACAGAAACGAACGAGCACAAUGCAGUUGUUUCAUUUUUUCAUGAUUUUUGUUUUGGCUAUUAUUCUUUCUUUUGCCCGGCUAUCGAACGCAGAAUGUUCGAGUGACUACGAAUGUUACGUGGAUUGCCGAAAAUCAAAUUAUUACAAGGGUGGAAAGUGCAUACAGGGAAACAAAGGUUGUACCUGCACAUUUUCUUAAAUCACAUGAAGCCACGAUAAUUCAAUGGACAUUCGUAGAUUUUAAAUAUAAGGUUUUUAAGUGUUGCAGCGGUAAUUCAGCCAUAACUUGGAGUUCGAUUUCUGUCGUGCCGAAUGGCUCGCACGCAGGUAAGCUGAAUUCCAG